rnacentral:rRNA from 1 species
GGCGUAAAGCGCAUGCAGGUGGUCUAUUAAGUCAUAUGUGAAAGCCCCCAGCUCAACUGGGGAACGACGUAUGAAACUGACGGACUAGAGUACUGUAGAGGGGGGUAGAAUUUC